AUGGAACAAUGUAGGCAAGGGAAGUCGGCAAAACGGAUCCAUAACUUCGGGAAAAGGAUUGGCUCUAAGGAUUGGGCUCGGGGGUCCUAGCCCCGAACCCGUCGGCUGUCGGCGGAUUGCUCGAGCUGCUCACGCGGCGAGAGCGGGUCGCCGCAUGCCGACCGGGGGACGGACCAGGAAUUGCCCCUUCGAGGGCUUUCCCCAAGCAUGAAACAGUCGACUCAGAACUGGUACGGACAAGGGGAAUCCGACUGUUUAAUUAAAACAAAGCAUUGCGAUGGUCCUCGCGGAUGCUGA
rnacentral:rRNA from 1 species